rnacentral:rRNA from 1 species
AAAUUGAAGAGUUUGAUCAUGGCUCAGAUUGAACGCUGGCGGCAGGCCUAACACAUGCAAGUCGAACGGUAACAGAAAGCAGCUUGCUGCUUUGCUGACGAGUGGCGGACGGGUGAGUAAUGUCUGGGAAACUGCCUGAUGGAGGGGGAUAACUACUGGAAACGGUAGCUAAUACCGCAUAACGUCGCAAGACCAAAGAGGGGGACCUUCGGGCCUCUUGCCAUCGGAUGUGCCCAGAUGGGAUUAGCUUGUUGGUGGGGUAACGGCUCACCAAGGCGACGAUCCCUAGCUGGUCUGAGAGGAUGACCAGCCACACUGGAACUGAGACACGGUCCAGACU